rnacentral:rRNA from 1 species
UACGUAGGGGGCAAGCGUUGUCCGGAAUCAUUGGGCGUAAAGCGCGUGUAGGCGGCCCGAUAAGUCCGCUGUGAAAGUCCAGGGCUCAACCCUGGGAUGCCGGUGGAUACUGUCGGGCUCGAGUCCGGAAGAGGCGAGUGGAAUUCCUGGUGUAGCGGUGAAAUGCGCAGAUAUCAGGAGGAACACCAAUGGCGAAGGCAGCUCGCUGGGACGUGACUGACGCUGAGGUGCGAAAGCGUGGGGAGCAAACAGG